rnacentral:lncRNA from 1 species
ACCGUCAAUGACCAAAAAGGACAUACUUGUAAAAAUAAGCAAUCUGGGUGUUCAUUUCAUGUCUUUGAAAGUCCAGUAAGUAUGUUUUAUCCCACAAUUUAGAUCAAAAUCCUGAAUAUAAAUCAUAUAGGUCCUUCCAUGUCUGACAAUUUUCAUAUGAAACCUCAAUGAAUUACACACAAAUAUUUUAAUAUUCUUAGAGUUGAUCUAUCAUGGAAUAUUGGUGGAAUAAUUGUGAUGGUGCAGAAGGACCUUGUCUACAUAAUAGAAUAUAUGAAGACAUUGAAGGCAAAACGACAAGCAUUGAAAUGAAUUUUAUGGCGAUAAUGGUGCACAAUAUGAAAAACUAUUAAGGUUAUAGGGUUGAUUUGAAGAAUAGAAAUCCAAACUUUAAUGUAGAUAUUUGGAGAAAUAAAGGUAAAUUUAAGAAAUUUUAUAUGUUUCUUUCUCCUUUGAAGGAAGCCAUCAAGAUGGGUUUAGGCCAUUAAUAAGCCUAGAUGGUUGUUGGCUUAAGGGUACAUAUGGAGGCAAUUUGUUAGCUGUCGUUGCAAUUGAUCCUAAUGAUUGCAUAUUUCUUAUUGCAUAUACUAUGAUCGUUGAAGCUGAAAGAAAUGAGACUUGGAGUUGGUUCCUAACUAUCUUGGAUAUGAUUUAGAGAUAAUGAAUAGUCACUACGUUGCACUUAUGUCUAAUAAACAAAAGUUGAAACAUCCAAGUCCUUUAUCUUUCAAGUUCACUCAUAUUUUUUAUAGUAUAUAGUUAACUAUUUAAAACUAAUGUUACAAGGAUUGAUUGGAGUCAUUAAGGAACUAUUUCCAGAAGCAAAACAUAGAAAUUAUGUCAGAUACAUAUAUCAAAAUUUUAAACAGAAACAUAAAGACAAGGCAUUAAAGGAUCUAAUAUGGAAUGUGGCAAAGGCAAGUAAUAAGGUGAAGUUUAAGAUAUGUAUGGAACAACUUUAAUAAUAGAAUACCGACGCUGGAAAAUGAUUUGUUCAUCCCGAAAGACCAUUCGAGACCUAGACCAGAGUAUUGUUCAAGAAAUAUAGCAAUGUGACAUGCUCUUGAAUAAUUUUUAUGAAAGUUUC